rnacentral:lncRNA from 1 species
CAAUUUGGUCCCCGAAGUUUCAAAAGUUAACAAAAAGGUCCUCAACUUAUUUUUCUUUUAAAAUGGGUGCCGCGGCGACGCUUGGUUCUCUACCCAAAACCAGAAAAUGGUUUUCUUUUUGCAGCCAAGUUUCAAAUAUUACAUGCUAGUCUCUCAACUUUGAUUUUGUACAAUUUGGUCCUCGAAUUUUGACUUUCAUUUCGAUUUUGCCCUCCAU